rnacentral:rRNA from 1 species
AUUGAACGCUGGCGGCAGGCUUAACACAUGCAAGUCGAGCGGGGAAAGGUAGCUUACUACCUGACCUAGCGGCGGACGGGUGAGUAAUGCUUAGGAAUCUGCCUAUUAGUGGGGGACAACAUUCCGAAAGGAAUGCUAAUACCGCAUACGCCCUACGGGGGAAAGCAGGGGAUCUUCGGACCUUGCGCUAAUAGAUGAGCCUAAGUCAGAUUAGCUAGUUGGUGGGGUAAAGGCCUACCAAGGCGACGAUCUGUAGCGGGUCUGAGAGGAUGGUCCGCAACACUGGGACUGAGACACGGCCCAGAAUCCUCCGGGAGGCAGCAGUGGGGAAUAUUGGAGAAUGGGCGAAAGCCUGAUCCAGCCAUGCCGGGUGGGUGAAGAAGGCCUUUUGGUUGUAAAGUACUUGAAGCGAGGAGGAGGCUACCGAGAUUAAUACUCUUGGAUAGUGGACGUUACUCGCAGAAUAAGCACCGGCUAACUCUGUGCCAGCCGCCGCAGUAAGAC